rnacentral:rRNA from 1 species
ACGAACGCUGGCGGCGUGCUUAACACAUGCAAGUCGAACGGAAAGGCCCUGCUUUUGGGGGGUGCUCGAGUGGCGAACGGGGGAUUAACACGUGAGUAACCUGCCCUUGACUUUGGGAUAACUUCAGGAAACUGGGGCUAAUACCGCAUAGGAACUCCUGCUGCAUGGUGGGGGUUGGGAAGUUUAGGCGGUUGGGGAUGGACUCGCGGCUUAUCAGCUUGUUUGUGGGGUAGUGGCUUACCAAGGCUUAGACGGGUAGCCGGCCUGAGAGGGUAGCCGGGCACCUUGGGACUGAGAUACGGACCAGACUCCUACGGGAGGCAGAAGUGGGGAAUAUUGCAGAAUAGGCGGAAGCCUGAUGCAGCAACGCCGCGUGCGGGAAAACGGCCUUCGGGUUGUAAACCGCUUUCGCCUGUGACGAAGCGUGAGUGACGGUAAUGGGUAAAGAAGCACCGGCUAACUACGUG